GAAGCCGACCAGACCGUCGCUGGUGCAAGGGCCGAAAGGUCGCACUGGAGGAAGGUCCGGACUGCAUAGAGCAGCGUAGCGGGUAACGCCCGUCCACCGCGAGGUGCGGAUCAGAGCCACAGAGACGAGUCUUGCCGGGGUUCCCAACGGGGGUGCUCUGCGAGGGGCCGGCGCAAGCCGGCCGGACGUCGGCGCAAGCCGGCGGCCUCGGGCGCAGCCCGAACCGAGCAGCCACCCUUGACGGGGCCACAGCCCCGUCAAGGGUGAAACGCGGCAAUCUCUACGCGCAGCAACACCAAAUAGGCCGGCAUUGAAGCGGCUCGCUGAGCCGGCGGGUAGGUGGCAUCGAGCCAGGGUGGCAACACCUCGGCCCAGAGGAAUGGCGGUCACGGCGGCGCUUUGCAAGAAGCGCCGCUGCACAGAAUCCGGCCUAUCGGUCGACUUCACAC
rnacentral:RNase_P_RNA from 1 species